CGAGGAACUCCCGGAGGCCCAGGAUUGCCUGGCAUGAAGGGAUACCCAGGCUUCAAUGGUCGAGAUGGAGCCAGAGGAGACCAGGGUCCUGCUGGACCCAAGGGUGACACUGGACCUGAUGCGGGAGACGGACGUCAGGGUCCUGUGG